rnacentral:rRNA from 1 species
AGAGAGAGACAUGCGCGCAUAUCAAUAAGCGGAGGAAAAGAAACUAACAAGGAUUCCCUUAGUAACGGCGAGUGAAGCGGGAAGAGCUCAAAUUUGAAAUCUUCAAGGUUUUACCUUGACGAAUUGUAGUUUAUAGAAGUGUUUUCUGUUGGAGUUUUGGUAAAAGUUCUUUGGAAUAGGACAUCAUAGAGGGUGAGAAUCCCGUAUUUGGACCAUUAUUUCCAGCUGUGUGAUACACUUUCAAAGAGUCGGAUUGUUUGGGAAUGCAGUCCAAAAUGGGUGGUAAAUUUCAUCUAAAGCUAAAUAUUGGCGAGAGACCGAUAGCGAACAAGUACCGUGAGGGAAAGAUGAAAAGAACUUUGAAAAGAGAGUUAAACAGUACGUGAAAUUGUCAAAAGGGAAGCGUUUGACACCAGUGUUGUUUUUCUCGAAAAUCAAUUACGAAUAUUUUGUUUUUGAGGAGUUAUGACUUCAUCGGCUUGCUCCUUUCUUUACGAAACUUUCUUAAUGCACUUUUCGGUUAACAAGUCAACAUCAAUUUCUUUUGUUGUAAAAGGGUACGAGGAAGGUGGCUUUCUUUUCGGAGAAAGUGUUUAUAGCCUUGUGCCUCUGCAAUCGGAGAGAUUGAGGUCUGUUAACGUAGAUCCUUCGGGGUUAGAUACAUUUGUGCUAAGUUAUAGCUUUUCAUAGACAACUUGUUGACUAUGUUUAGUCUUGUAGCUUACUCGCUUAUGCUAUUUUACCUACGCUUAGGAUGUUGAUCUGUAGUGCGUGCGC